GUAGGGAAUAUUGGGCAAUGGAUGCAAGUCUGACCCAGCCAUGCCGCGUGGAGGAAGAAGGUCCUCUGGAUUGUAAACUCCUUUUUUGGGGGAAGAAUAGUUUUCUUGCGAGAGAAUGUGACGGUACCCUAAGAAUAAGCCACGGCUAACUACGUGCCAGCAGCCGCGGUAAUACGUAGGUGGCAAGCGUUGUCCGGAUUUAUUGGGUUUAAAGGGUGCGUAGGUGGUUUGAUAAGUCAGUGGUGAAAGCUGGUUGCUCAACAAUCAAGUUGCCAUUGAUACUGUCGGACUUGAGAGAAGUGGAGGUUCAUGGAAUGGAUGGUGUAGCGGUGAAAUGCAUAGAUAUCAUCCAGAACGUCGAUUGCGAAGGCAGUGGGCUGUACUUUAUCUGACACUGAGGCACGAAAGUGUGGGGAUCAAACAGGAUUAGAUACCCGGGUAGUCC
rnacentral:rRNA from 1 species